CCUACGGGAGGCAGCAGUGGGGAAUCUUGCGCAAUGGGCGAAAGCCUGACGCAGCAACGCCGCGUGCGGGAAGAAGGCUUUCGGGCUGUAAACCGCUUUCAGCAGGAACGAAAAUGACGGUACCUGCAGAAGAAGGAGCGGCCAACUAUGUGCCAGCAGCCGCGGUGAUACAUAGGCUUCAAGCGUUGUCCGGAUUUAUUGGGCGUAAAGAGUUCGUAGGCGGUCGAGUAAGUCGGGUGUGAAAAUUCUGGGCUCAACCCAGAGACGCCACCCGAUACUGCUUGACUUGAGUUCGAUAGGGGAGUGGGGAAUUCCUAGUGUAGCGGUGAAAUGCGCAGAUAUUAGGAGGAACACCGGUGGCGAAGGCGCCACUCUGGAUCGAUACUGACGCUGAGGAACGAAAGCAUGGGUAGCAAACAGGAUUAGAUACCCUGGUAGUCCAUGCCGUAAACGGUGGGCACUAGGUGUGGGUUUCUAUUAACGAAAUCCGCGCCGUCGCUAACGCAUUAAGUGCCCCGCCUGGGGAGUACGGUCGCGAGCUAAAACUCAAAUGAAUUGACGGCUUGAGAGUUGCGAGCGACGACGAGGGAGAGG
rnacentral:rRNA from 1 species